rnacentral:rRNA from 1 species
UACUAGGCGUCGAGCGGCGGACGGGUGAGUAAUGCUCAGGAAUCUACCGAGUAGUGGGGGAUAGCCAUUGGAAACGAUGAUUAAUACCGCAUAUAUCCUACGGGGGAAAGCAGGGGACCUUCGGGCCUUGCGCUAUUUGAUGAGCCUGAGUGAGAUUAGCUAGUUGGUAGGGUAAAGGCCUACCAAGGCGACGAUCUCUAGCUGGUCUGAGAGGAUGAUCAGCCACACUGGGACUGAGACACGGCCCAGACUCCUACGGGAGGCAGCAGUGGGGAAUAUUGCACAAUGGGCGAAAGCCUGAUGCAGCCAUGCCGCGUGUGUGAAGAAGGCCUUAGGGUUGUAAAGCACUUUCAGCGAGGAGGAAAGGUCAGUAGCUAAUAAUUGCUGGCUGUGACGUUACUCGCAGAAGAAGCACCGGCUAAUUUAGUGCCAGCAGCCGCGGUAAUACUAAAGGUGCAAGCGUUAAUCGGAAUUACUGGGCGUAAAGCGCGCGUAGGUGGUUUGUCAAGUUGAAUGUGAAAGCCCAGGGCUCAACCUUGGAACAGCAUCCAAAACUGACUCACUAGAGUACGAGAGAGGUUAGUGGAAUUUCCUGUGUAGCGGUGAAAUGCGUAGAGAUGGGAAGGAACACCAGUGGCGAAGGCGACUGA